rnacentral:rRNA from 1 species
UCUUCUUCUUGCUCAACAUCUUGGUACAUAAAGAUGAGUAAAUUACUUGCCAUAGCGCUCCUGCUGCUGCCUCUCAUCAACCAAGGAAUCUACUUGGCCACGGCAUGGGAUGAUCAAGAUUUCUUCAAAUACUGCCCACCGUCCCAGUGCAGCCAACAUGGCCCAGAGGUCAGGUUUCCUUUCUGCCUUGAAUCCAGCAAUAAAUCGUCAUCAUCAUGUGGAUGUGCUGGCAGAUCAAUCAGGAAGUUAGCAUGCUCUAGGCAAGACACCAUCCUUUUUCACCCAGUUCUUGGCCUAUACAAUGUCAGCGCCAUAGAUUACAUAAAUUCUUCCAUGAAGAUCAUCCCGCUUGUAGACCCCUGUUUGGUGCUACAGCAGAAGCUCGUCAUCUCCAGAAGCUCGUCAUCUCCACAGGUUGAUGUUAUCAACGAUGAGAUGCCAAGUUUUUAUGACUAUUUCUUUGAUAGUUCAUCUUCAACCAUAGUACACUGUUCAAGAGAGUUCACACCUGCUGCUGCCCAUGCCGAUAGCAUUGCAGGCCCAGUCUCCUGCCUUAGCAACACAACCCACUUCUUUUAUUUGGUGAAUAGUUAUGAAGACAUGUCUAUUCUUCCGUUGGACUGCAAGGUCGUCCCACUCUCAGAUCGAGGUGGCAUCUCGUUACCAUAUAUUAAAGACCAAAUGUUCCAGAACUUCACGGAAACCGCAAAAAAAAUCCUCACUUUUGCUGAGACGGCAGUGUCUUGGUAUGUGGGAGACUGCAGACGAUGUGAGCUCAGUGGGCGACGCUGCGCAUUCAGCUCACAAAGGGAUAGAGAAUUCUGCAUGCCUGACCCUCAUGGUUCACAUAUCAAAGUCAUUGCAGCUACAUCAUCGAUGGCCGCAUUUGUCUUUCUUUUGGUGACAGUGGCCACUGCACUUUAUGUUUCACUCAAGACAAGAUAUAAUGAGGAGAUACAUUUGAAGGUUGAAAUGUUCCUCAAGACAUAUGGAACAUCAAAGCCCACGAGGUACACAUUCUCUGAAGUUAAGAAGAUAGCAAGACGGUUCAAGGAAAAGGUGGGGCAGGGUGGAUUUGGAAGUGUAUACAAAGGCGAGCUACCAAAUGGAGUGCCCGUGGCAGUCAAGAUGCUAGAGAACUCUACAGGAGAGGGAGAAGCAUUCAUCAAUGAAGUUGCAACCAUCGGACUAAUCCACCAUGCCAAUAUUGUCCGCCUCCUGGGAUUUUGUUCCGAAGGAAUGAGGCGGGCUCUUAUUUAUGAAUUCAUGCCUAACGAGUCACUAGAGAAAUACAUAUUCUCUGAUGACCCUAACAUUUUUCAGAAUCUUCUAGUACCAGACAAGCUGCUAGAUAUUGCUUUAGGCAUCGCCAGAGGAAUGGAGUACUUGCAUCAAGGGUGCAACCAGCGCAUCCUCCACUUUGACAUCAAGCCUCACAAUAUCUUGCUGGAUUACAACUUCAAUCCAAAGAUCUCAGACUUUGGCCUUGCAAAGUUGUGCGCGAGGGACCAAAGCAUCGUCACCUUAACUGCAGCAAGAGGCACGAUGGGCUACAUUGCACCAGAGCUAUACUCUCGGAACUUUGGAGGAGUUUCGUACAAGUCAGACGUGUACAGUUUCGGCAUGCUGGUGCUAGAAAUGGUGAGCGGAAGGAGGAACGCGGACCCAAGAAUCGGGAGCCAGGACGAUGUUUACCUCCCUGAGUGGAUCUAUGAUAAAGUGAUCAAUGGGGAGGAGUUGGCGCUUACUUUGGAAACGACUCAAGAAGAGAAAGAGAAGGUGAGGAAGCUGGCUAUGGUGGCACUGUGGUGUAUCCAGUGGAACCCGAGAAACCGGCCGUCGAUGACAAAGGUCGUUAACAUGUUAACGGGGAGGUUGCAGAGUCUGCAGAUGCCCCCGAAGCCCUUCGUCUCAUCUGAAAAUGAACUCAUGCCAUAA